ensembl:processed_transcript
GUAUGCUGACUUUAGUCACAUUACUGUAGUGCAGUACACUCAAAAAAAUCAACUAGGCAUGUAUUGGAUUUACAAAAUAAAAAUUUGUCAAGUCAAAUCAAGUUUACGUAUGUUAAAUGAUUAAUUCAUGUUAUUUGAAAUUGAAUCAAGAAAUAAUCAAAUGAAUUUGAUCAGAACAUGUUGAUUCAAUGAGACUGAGACGCUUCAAAUCGACAACUCUCACUCUGGAGAGUCACUUCGCGCAUAUCAGUAGGUGGCGGUAGUGCGUUUGGAUGUCACCAUACGAAAACAACAAGAAGAAGUAUCACCGCGUGUUUUCGGCACAGUUUGGGAAUUGGUUUUCCCAAGAGCUUGAAUGUUAUGCAUGUUAUUUUGUUGGCUAAAUGUCUUAUACAUUUUAUAUUACAUAUUAAAAUUUUGGAUAUUAUAUAACAUUUUGUAUCAGAAUAUUAUAGAAGAAAUUUGUUUAA